CACGGCCCUUAUCGAAGCUGCAGCUGCUUCCGCGUAGCCGCUGUGGUCAAAGAGGACCCCAGAGUGAAUUUCUCGGAGGGUCGCCGUCAGGCCUGCCUUGGCAGGUCUGCAACAUUGUGGGGAAAGACAGCU